rnacentral:rRNA from 1 species
GGAAUUCGAUUCGGUGUGACAAGGCCCGGGAACGUAUUCACCGCGGCAUGUUGAUCCGCGAUUACUAGCGAUUCCGACUUCAUGCUCUCGAGUUGCAGAGAGCAAUCCGAACUGAGACGGCUUUUCGAGAUUGGCUCGGCAUCGCUGCCUUGCGCCCCUCUGUCACCGCCAUUGUAGCACGUGUGUAGCCCAGCCCAUAAGGGCCAUGAGGACUUGACGUCAUCCCCGCCUUCCUCCGGCUUGUCACCGGCAGUUUCUGCAGAGUGCCCGGCUCUACCCGAUGGCAACUGCAGAUGGGGGUUGCGCUCGUUGCGGGACUUAACCCAACAUCUCACGACACGAGCUGACGACAGCCAUGCAGCACCUGUGUUCCCGCCAGCCGAACUGAAGGGAGGGGUCUCCCCCACCCACACGGGACAUGUCAAGGGCUGGUAAGGUUCUUCGCGUUAAUCACUA